rnacentral:rRNA from 1 species
UCCCAGACUCCUACGGGAGGCAGCAGUGGGGAAUAUUGCACAAUGGGGGGAACCCUGAUGCAGCGACGCCGCGUGAGUGAAGAAGUAUUUCGGUAUGUAAAGCUCUAUCAGCAGGGAAGAUAAUGACGGUACCUGACUAAGAAGCCCCGGCUAACUACGUGCCAGCAGCCGCGGUAAUACGUAGGGGGCAAGCGUUAUCCGGAUUUACUGGGUGUAGAGGGUGCGUAGGUGGCAGGGCAAGUCAGAUGUGAAAGCCCUGGGCCCAACCCCGGUACUGCAUUUGAAACUGUCCGGCUGGAGUGCAGGAGAGGUAAGCGGAAUUCCUAGUGUAGCGGUGAAAUGCGUAGAUAUUAGGAGGAACACCAGUGGCGAAGGCGGCUUACUGGACUGUAACCGACACUGAGGCACGAAAGCGUGGGGAGCAAACAGGAUUAGAUACCCUCGUA